UACGUAGGGUGCAAGCGUUAAUCGGAAUUACUGGGCGUAAAGCGUGCGCAGGCGGUCCGUUAAGACAGAUGUGAAAUCCCCGGGCUCAACCUGGGAACUGCAUCUGUGACUGUAUAGCUAGAGUACGGUAGAGGGGGAUGGAAUUCCGCGUGUAGCAGUGAAAUGCGUAGAUAUGCGGAGGAACACCGAUGGCGAAGGCAAUCCCCUGGACCUGUACUGACGCUCAUGCACGAAAGCGUGGGGAGCAAACAGG
rnacentral:rRNA from 1 species